rnacentral:tRNA from 1 species
UGGCUCAGUUGGUAGAGUAUGGUGUUUGCAACGCCAGCAUGGUGUGUGCAACGCCAGGGUUGUGGGUUCAACUCCCAC